rnacentral:tRNA from 1 species
UUCCCUGUAGCUCAGUUGGUAGAGCAUGGCACUUGCAAUGUCAGGGUUGUGGGUUUGAUUCCCACGGGGGACC